AGGGGGGGGGGGGGCGGUGGCUCACCUUCGCGCAGCAUUAAAUUUCACGUGCGGAAUAUAAUAUGAGAAGGAGGGAGGUCAGAAAAUGAGAUACUCGUGAGACGAGCGAGAAGGGACGAGAUUUACGGAGGAAAAACGCUCGAACGACGGACUAAAAUCGAACUUCGAGAUUCUGUGCAACGAAGUUAUGAAAACGGAGCGCGUCAACGCUCCGUGGAAAAACAAACACGGAAAAAACGACGGUAAAUGUGACCAGGGACAAAACAACUAACGAAAUUCGCAACUCGCAGAAUACUGCACGGCCAAGCCCCUCGUAAUUACGCUCAUUAGCAUGCUUAGCCGAUCCUCGAAACAGGAAAGUAAAAAAGAGAGGAUGAAAGAUCCGAAUCUCUAGCCGGUUAGAAUCUCGUGCACGCGAGUGCACAUUCAUCUCGCACUAUACGAGAGAUUAACGAUUCGAAAGGUGCAGAGACGAGUCGAUGGGAGGAGACGUAAUCCGCAAGUUCCACGCACACAUACACGCACGUGUCUCUCCGUAUUCGGAGCUUGCACUUGUCGCUGAUACUAUAUCCGUGGAGUUUAAAAAACGUGAUUUUUCGGAUGUUCGAGUUUAUCAAGUCCCGACAUCAAUGAAUUUAUUAUAAAAUCAUCGUCGGCGGAUCCGGUCAAUUUUUUCCUUCUCUCUCCAUCGCUCUCGAUGUUAUUUCAGUUUUCAAAUCGAUUUUAAUGUUAAAUCCAUUGGAUUUGGCUCGCUUCGGUGAAUCGCGGAAUCAAGAUUUUGACGGAAUGUACAUGAAACACUGUACGGAGACGUGCAUCCGAGAGAACGGGCGUCGCUGGACUGACGCGAGGGGCCCGAGCCGGUAGGCCUCGACUUUCUUCUUUCGUGCUCUCUGCGGAUUCUAUAUACCGUUUAUACACAUAUAUAUGUGUGUUAAGGUAUAUACAGAGAGAUAAUUUACUGUAGUUUGCUCCUGCUGAGCUUCGGAGGAUCGCCUGUUUCAUUACAAACACCGCUCACCUAAGUGGCCAUCGGCCUCGUCUCGUCACUGAUCGCGCCAGUAAAGAUUUUCACCUGACCGCCCCCGCGGAUAUUUUCACGCGGUGGACACGCUCCGAUCGCGAGAUUAAAUCGAGCGGAACGACCUCCGGGGGGCUGAGCCUACAACUUUUCUCGCAACUCCGAUACGUGCGUUGAAAUUUUCAUCGCAAUUCGUUAGAUUAGCGAAGAAAAAGUGAUCGCGAUACUUCCGGUGGUGGAAUAAAGUGACUGGAAUACCUCGAGUCGAUGGAAUGGGGAUGAAAAAUUGUGGGCGAAAAAUGAGAAAGAAUCGUCUCGGCUGACUUCUCUUUGCGAUCAUCUGAAAAUUAAAAAAAAUAACAACUUUUUGUUUUCUUUCGUUUAAUUAUACAGUCUCUGAGUGAUUAAACAGAUUUUACUCGAUAUGUCCUGUAUUUAUGCUCUAUGUGUAAUAAAUGAGGUAUACUAAUCUUA